CUACGGGUCGCUGCAGUGAGGAAUAUUGCACAAUGGGGGGAACCCUGAUGCAGCAACGCCGCGUGGAGGAUGACGCAUUUCGGUGUGUAAACUCCUUUUAUAUGUCAAGAAAAUGACGGUAGCAUAUGAAUAAGCACCGGCUAACUCCGUGCCAGCAGCCGCGGUAAUACGGAGGGUGCAAGCGUUACUCGGAAUCACUGGGCGUAAAGGACGCGUAGGCGGGGUGGAAAGUCAGGUGUGAAAUCCUACAGCUUAACUGUAGAACUGCACUUGAAACUUCUAAUCUAGAGUAUGGGAGGGGGAGAUGGAGUUAGUGGUGUAGGGGUAAAAUCCGUAGAUAUCACUAGGAAUACCUAAAGCGAAGGCGAUCUCCUGGAACAUUACUGACGCUAAGGCGUGAAAGCGUGGGGAGCAAACAGGAUUAGAUACCCGCGUAGUC
rnacentral:rRNA from 1 species